UACCAGAGCCUCUGCAACUCCGAGUGAAGGUGCUUUGUGUGCACGGAGGAGAAACCUCGUUGUGAAGAGAACUUCUUACCUGAACAGUGGUUUGCAGACUCAGCUCCUGGCUGCUCUUUCAACUCAGGCAGCCGUGGGCUUCUCUGUGGGAACACUGCUUGCUUCUCAUCUCAACAAUGCUGUUGUAAAUCAUGCAAGUCAUCACUGAAGUAAACUAGAACCUGCUGAACGUCCGGGUUUACAAGAGCUCCCUCCAGUCGCCUGCAGCGCAUGAUCAAGCACCACRUAUAUGAGCCAGCUUUGCCUGGGUGCCCUUGCUGCAGAUUGGAGGAUGGAUUUUGAGUGGCCUCUCCGUU